rnacentral:rRNA from 1 species
UACGAAGGGGGCUAGCGUUGUUCGGAUUUACUGGGCGUAAAGGGCGCGUAGGCGGCGUGUUAAGUCAGCUGUGAAGUCUCCAAGCUUAACUUGGAACGGUCAGCUGAUACUGAUGUGCUAGAGUGCAGAGGGGGCAAUCGGAAUUCUUGGUGUAGCGGUGAAAUGCGUAGAUAUCAAGAGGAACACCUGAGGUGAAGACGGGUUGCUGGGCUGACACUGACGCUGAGGCGCGAAAGCUAGGGUAGCAAACGGG